GCCUGGCUUCUAUGGCUAAACAGCAUUAGGCAAGCUAAAGUUCGGGCUGCAUGCUGUGGGUUGCUGUGAGCCAACAAAAUGUUCAAUGUGAGCUGAGGGAGUUCUAGUGGCCAAGUUCUGGGAAACUUUAUCUCUCACAUUAUCAGUUUAAAUAUAGAAUAUGAAUUAACAUCUUUUCCGACUGCUCAACAGACUACCACAGAAAUGUGAAGGAUGCCACCACAAUGCGAAUGACAGUCACUUAAAGAUUUCAGGGAGCAGUACAGAGUAACAGCUCCAUGAUGGAGCUUCAUCACUCCAGCAGUGGAGGGGGAACCUCUAGUCUAAAGUUAAAGCGUGCUGGAUCUCCUGAGCUCAGCUGUGUAUCUAUGAAGAGUGACUGGUCCAUGCCUGAGCCUCCUGCAUUCAGCAGAAAAGGAGGAGAACCCAGCUAUAUGUCUAAGAAGAGUGACUGGCCCAUGCCUGAGCCUCCUGCAUUCAGCAGUGGAGCAGGAAAAUCCAGUUGUGUGUCAUUGAAGAGUGAUUGGUCCAUGCCUGAGCCUCCCUCAUUCAGCAGAGGAGGAGAACCCAGCUGUGUGUCUAUGAAGAGUGACUAGUCCAUGCCUGAGCCUCCCUCAUUCAGAGGGUGGGGAGAACUGAAGAACAACAUUUCUUGUUGUUCUAUGACUGUGACAUUAUAUCUCAGCAGUGGAGAAGGACAGUCCAGCAUGUCCAGUCACUGACCAUGUGGUAUGAUCAGUAAUCUUUAGAAGGGGCUAAUGCUAAAAUAAUAAACAAAACUUAAAUCUAAGAAGUGGUCAUGAAAGCUAACUAACCUAACAAAAGAAAAAAAGCAAAUACGUACAAGUACUAUUCCCCAUCU